GACGAACGCUGGCGGCGUGCUUAGCACAUGCAAGUCGAACGGAAAGGCCCUGCUUUUGUGGGGUGCUCGAGUGGCGAACGGGUGAGUAACACGUGAGUAACCUGCCCUUGACUUUGGGAUAACUUCAGGAAACUGGGGCUAAUACCGGAUAGGAGCUCCUGCUGCAUGGUGGGGGUUGGAAAGUUUCGGCGGUUGGGGAUGGACUCGCGGCUUAUCAGCUUGUUGGUGGGGUAGUGGCUUACCAAGGCUUUGACGCGUAGCCGGCCUGAGAGGGUGACCGGCCACAUUGGGACUGAGAUACGGCCCAGACUCCUACGGGAGGCAGCAGUGGGGAAUAUUGCACAAUGGGCGGAAGCCUGAUGCAGCAACGCCGCGUGCGGGAUGACGGCCUUCGGGUUGUAAACCGCUUUCGCCUGUGACGAAGCGUGAGUGACGGUAAUGGGUAAAGAAGCACCGGCUAACUACGUG
rnacentral:rRNA from 1 species